AUGGCGACCGAUGGCAUGAGACCCCCCCCUCUCUUCCGAAACUCCUUGUGCUUAAACACCUCUUCACACCUCUCGGUUGUUAGAUGUUUUGGAUUGGGACUUGCUGUCUGAGUAGCUGGAGUGGUCAUGGGUCGAACUGGAUGGAUACAAGUGAUGGGAUGACCGAUAAUACACAUUGGUUUUGAAACACAGUUAAACAAUGAUUUCUUUUAUUUGCUUCCGCUGAACAUGUUGGUUUAC
rnacentral:lncRNA from 1 species